AUACUCACCUGUUGGAGGAGUCCCCUGACCAUGAAGAUAGUUUUCCCAGCACGAGGCUUAUCCUUUGCAUACUGGUCGUGCUGACACUUUCAGUCUACCCCAAAUAUGGGAAACUUGGCCGCAUUUGGUAGUGAGGGACUCUGUGCUUUCACCC
rnacentral:snRNA from 1 species